AGGAAUUUAGGUUAAUUUAGACCAAGAGCCUUCAAAGCCCUAAGC
rnacentral:tRNA from 1 species